GAUAUCUGGUCUGUACAAGUGAAUUAAAGAGGAGAUGCUCACCACCUGAGUGUUACUCCAGCAACACUGUGGUUUCUUAUUUGCGAAAAGCAAAGGCACAGAAAAAAACCAUAGAGGAAAAGCUGACUGGCAUGGGUGUGCAGCCCACCAAGCGGACCAAACUGACUUCACUGUGCACUAAACUGUGUGAAGAUGAAUGCAGUGAGCUGGUCAGUGACGUAAUGUUCCUGGCAGCAAAGUUUACUCCACAAAGAAAAGUGGUCCAGGAAAUGUGUGAAAAUGAGGAUGUCCAAUUAGGAUGCAAUUUCCAAAACUGAAGCCUGCAGGAAGACCUUACAAACACUUCUGGUGACUUUAGGGAGAAACUGGGAGACGUUUGAACAGGCAACCCAUGGGCUUGGGCCUGGUUUAAUGGUGGGCACAUUCGAGUUCAUUGACUCGUGCCUCAAAGAAAAAAUUAAAACACUUAAAUCCUCUACGAAAGAUGUGAACUAGUUAAGGUACAGCUGU